rnacentral:lncRNA from 1 species
UGGAACUGUUCAGACGAUGCCACCUGGAGAUAUGCAAUUUCACCCUAAGUAAUCUCAUUCAGGAUUGAUGGCUUCCCCGGAGAGCUGCCUUCCAACCGUGCUCUUCUCAAUGCCUAGCUUCCGCAUACAAACCCAUAAAAAAUGUCAGAGUGGUGUUCCUUCUCUCAGCCAUAAAGAUGUCGGAGUGAAUCACUCCCCAGCUACUCUUUAACGUCUCCUCCAGAUCACUCUGGAAAGUGAGCACAAAUACGUUCCAAACAGCUUCGCGUUGAAUUUCUGGAGAUUCCCUGAUACUAACUUGCGCUCCCCAACGGAUCUGGAAAAUAGCAGCGCACACCUGAUAGCCAGGGCAACAAGAGUUGGCGUCGCUGCAGCUGCUUUCUCUCUUGAUUUCCUCGGCCUGAUGUUUACAAAUACUGCCAGUUCACUGAUUUGACCUACCCAGAAAUUUUCAAAGAGCCUCAAUACUUAACGGAAUCCCAGCUGGCUUUAUUCACCAUCAAUGAAAAGUUAUUUGGGAAAACAACAACAACACUACAACUUAAAAGCGAAACAUAUACAGGAGCAGAAUGCUGUGGUUUGAAGGAGAAAUGUUCCUCACAAGCUUGGAUAUUUGAACACUUGGUCCCCAGUUGGUGGCACUGUUUGGGAGUAUUAUGGAUCCUUAAGGAGAUAUGGCCUUGCUGGAGGAACUAUAUCAGUGGGGAAAGCUUUGGGGGUUUAUUUCUUCACAUCACUCUCUUUCCCUGCUUCCUGUGUGUGGUUAAGAUGUGACCUCUCAGGAUCCUGCCCUCACCCUUAUGCCUUCCCCAUCAUCAUUGAUAUCCAGCUCUCUGGGACCCUAAGC